rnacentral:lncRNA from 1 species
GGACUGUGUCCCUUGGACCUGUGAGGGGAUUUCUUCUCUGGCCUACCACCAUCAGACCCGGGAAAAUUCCUGUCCUGCCUGCUGCUCCUGGACUUUUGGUGAUUAACUAGCCCAGCCCACUGGACAUUCUGAGCAUAUCCUGGAGGUCUUCCUCUUGUGCCUGCUGCAACGGUACUCUUUUUGUGCUAGUAUUUUCUUCUUGGCAGCCUACUUUGCUGACCCUCUGCAUCUUCACAUUACCAAGUGGUCAGCGCUCCGCAGAUGAACCAGUGCACCAACCAUGAAUCAAUCAAAACAGCAAUGAGACUGAAAUGGAACGGUGUUUCUACUAUUUAUUUAGAAGAUUUUUUUGAAGAACAGAUGAAACUAGCCCAGAAAAAGAACAACAGAGUGAAGAAAGAGAAGCGUCCCUGUUGAUUGCCACCAUCGUGCAAAGACUGGGAGAAAGGUGUGACCGAAGGAAGAGUCCCAUUGUUUUGUGUCCCAUCCUAUUAUGAUCAGUUACAUUGCAAGUUUCCCAUUUGUAUUUAAUGUUUUUGUAGCUGAAACGCUGAAGUCUGUAAGGAGAAGUCUGCAUAUGCUUGGA